GGGACACGUGGUAUCCUGUCUGAAUAUGGGGGGACCAUCCUCCAAGGCUAAAUACUCCUGACUGACCGAUAGUGAACCAGUACCGUGAGGGAAAGGCGAAAAGAACCCCGGCGAGGGGAGUGAAAAAGAACCUGAAACCGUGUACGUACAAGCAGUGGGAGCCUCUUAAUGGGGUGACUGCGUACCUUUUGUAUAAUGGGUCAGCGACUUAUAUUCUGUAGCAAGGUUAACCGAAUAGGGGAGCCGAAGGGAAACCGAGUCUUAACUGGGCGUUAAGUUGCAGGGUAUAGACCCGAAACCCGGUGAUCUAGCCAUGGGCAGGUUGAAGGUUGGGUAACACUAACUGGAGGACCGAACCGACUAAUGUUGAAAAAUUAGCGGAUGACUUGUGGCUGGGGGUGAAAGGCCAAUCAAACCGGGAGAUAGCUGGUUCUCCCCGAAAGCUAUUUAGGUAGCGCCUCGUGAAUUCAUCUCCGGGGGUAGAGCACUGUUUCGGCAAGGGGGUCAUCCCGACUUACCAACCCGAUGCAAACUGCGAAUACCGGAGAAUGUUAUCACGGGAGACACACGGCGGGUGCUAACGUCCGUCGUGAAGAGGGAAACAACCCAGACCGCCAGCUAAGGUCCCAAAGUCAUGGUUAAGUGGGAAACGAUGUGGGAAGGCCCAGACAGCCAGGAUGUUGGCUUAGAAGCAGCCAUCAUUUAAAGAAAGCGUAAUAGCUCACUGGUCGAGUCGGCCUGCGCGGAAGAUGUAACGGGGCUAAACCAUGCACCGAAGCUGCGGCAGCGACACUAUGUGUUGUUGGGUAGGGGAGCGUUCUGUAAGCCUGUGAAGGUGGCCUGUGAGGGUUGCUGGAGGUAUCAGAAGUGCGAAUGCUGACAUAAGUAACGAUAAAGCGGGUGAAAAGCCCGCUCGCCGGAAGACCAAGGGUUCCUGUCCAACGUUAAUCGGGGCAGGGUGAGUCGACCCCUAAGGCGAGGCCGAAAGGCGUAGUCGAUGGGAAACAGGUUAAUAUUCCUGUACUUGGUGUUACUGCGAAGGGG
rnacentral:rRNA from 1 species